ensembl:lncRNA novel transcript
GCUUCCACUCAAUGCCAACAGCAGUGCUGCAAGCAUCUCAGCCUCUAUCCACCGCCAAACAGGUCAUCUGGCACAGACUAUUAAAUGACUAGCACUUCCCGUUCUCAGGGUGAUGUAUCUGCUUCCUGAUGGUGUUGGCUCUGACUAUCUUCCUACUUCCACCCAGUGGCUCCAGCUGUGGCUGCCAAGAAAACCCCAGCUGAUGGAGGAUGAGAGGUGAAAUCAGGACACACAAAGACCUGUUACCAUCAUCUUUCACCUGGAUUCUCCUAAAGCAACAGCUGCUCAUCUCAUCACUCUGAGUUACUAAUCCUUCUUUCUGAGACAAAAGCCCAAAAGGCAAAUGGGAAAUGACUUGUCAGAUGACAUCACCAAUAAUUGAACAUAAAGCAGACUCAAAUUAGGACAAAAUCUUUUGUAUUUACUCAGUUUAUAUCAGUAAUAUGAUUAUCUCAAAGUUCUAACAAAGCAGUCUGCCACAAGGGGUAACAAAAAACAUAGUCACUGAUUUGUCCCAGAGCAUCUCCAGCUGGGACAACUUAUUCUACCAUCUCUGCUCUGCCCAGACGACCACACACAUUGCCUUGCCUAGGGAAAGGGGCAGGGAAAUGAUGCAGGCUUUACUGUUCCAUUGACCCUUGCAGCUAAUCCAAAGGGACAUAAAAAUCUCUCAUUUCAGACUUUUAUGACAUAGCGUAGCCCUCCCUGGAGAUAAGUAGGAACACUGGUCUCCCGUCCCCACUUGCCCUUUGGGAAAGAUCAUCACAUCAGCCAGGCAGAGAACAGCCCCAGCUGACCCAAUGUACUUUCUCUUUAGCCUCUCAACCCUUCUUCCUUUGGUUGUUCAUGACAACCUGAGUUUUCAGGGAAUUUCAAAUUGAUGAUGACAAGCUGUUUGUCCUGUCUCAAUCUGCUGAAGAUGUUUAAAAUAAGGAGCUAUAGUGAACAGAGAGUUGAAAAAAAAAUUCUUUGGGGUGGAUGACACAUUGACCCAAACCAUUCUGAUCACACACAACUCUAAGCUCCUAUUUGGUGGAUGACAUUAAAUGCUGAAAAGGUUUGGAGUGCACAUAUAUUAGCUACUUUUCACAGCCUGUGUACAAAAAGUCCCAUGCCCUACUCUGCCAUACAUGUUGACUGACUAGCUUCAUUAGCAAGGAAGAACAAAAUAGUCAAUGCAAUCUUUUUCUGUGAGUUCAGUGAAGUCCUAGAUCUCCUUUUGGUGUCAAACCAUCACCUUCCAUGAAAGGUUUUUGUGAGGUGGACACAAUUUUCAGAAGGUAGGGUCCAGGUUCUCUGACAUUAGUGUUAACCUACUUGAAAUCUUCCUACUUAAUGGCUAGACACAGUAUUACUUAGGAAUUAAGCUUCAAGCAACAUUCUUAAAGAACAGGUUAUAGAAUUUAUUAUUUGUUAGAAUUUCUUUAUGCAAAAGUGGGAAGUAUCUUUAAAAAUAUUUUAGCCAAACUACAUGUCUUGAAUAACUUUAAUGUUAUCAAUGUGAGCCUGUUUCUAGUAUCCAUCAUGUUACCUAGCCACAAAUGUCACAAAUUAAAGAAAUAUAUCUGACAUUCAUUAUGCUAACCAACUGUCUGGUGUUGAUCCUCGUAUGGAUAGCUGAA